rnacentral:lncRNA from 1 species
GGCGUGCACCUUGGCGUGCGGAGCUGGCACCUUGGCGCCGUGGGCGGCGGCGGGGACAGCUGUGAAGUGUGAAGUUCCUUGUCUGCUGGCAGCCGGAGGCGACGAGUCUGGAUGUCAUGGAAGUGUUAUAAGACCCCUGUUUCAGAAGGGGUCCUGCCCCUUACCUGCGAGGAAGGAAUACAGAGAGGCCAAGGAGAAUCUGGACGGGCCUUGCUGGGUUUCUGCACUCAGUCUGCUAGUAUUAGAUCACACUCUUUAUCCAGUCAAGUACUGUGAGGUUGGCCAUGCUUCAAUCAUCUCUCUCCAGUGAAAUCUCUACAAAACGCCCAAGAGAACUUCUGGAUAGCCUAACAGAUGGAAGUUUCUGGAGAGUGGUACGCCUGGGGAGGGCAUAGAACUCUGCAUCCCCUCUCCAUCCCUCACCCUGUGCACCACUUCAUCUGUAUCCUUGGUAAUAUCCUUUGUAAUAAACCAGUUAAACCUAAGUGACUGUUCAAAUUAAUGAAGCCCAAAGAGGAGGUCCUGGGAACUGCAGCUUGAAGCCCGUCAUUGAGAAGUUCUGGAGGCCCUGACUUGUGUGACUGGUGUCUGAAGUAGGGGUAGUCUUCUGGGACUGAGCCCUCAGCCCGUGGAAUCUGACACUGUUUCCAGGUAGUUAGUGUCCGGAUUGAAUUGGAUGGGAAGAUACCCAGCUGGUGUUGGCUGCAGAGUUGAUUGCCUGCUUAUUGGUAGAGAGAAAUCCCCACGCGUCUGGUCACAGAAGUCUUCUGUAUAGAUUGUUGUCAGGAAGGAUGCCAAUUCUGCGCUUCUCAGUAACUACGAGACGUUAAAAUACAUAUCAAAAUCACCAUGCAGACACCAGAGUCCUGAGACUGUCAGAGAAUUUCUCACAGCAAUGAAAAGCCAUAAGUUGACCAAGCAUCUGUUUCUCAAAGAACUGCAGCCUGGCUUGUAGCCCCAGCUCUCAUGCUGACAUCUCCUCCCUAAGGUAUACACUCUGUCUUAGGGUUGGGAUUAGGUCUGCCAGGAAUGGAGCAAGAGGACUUGCCUUCAAGACCCAGCUUAGAUCCCCUGCAGCUUUUAGUCCUUGCAAUCCCUCUUCUCCCUCUUCACGUGGAGACCUCUCAGAUGGGAACUGAGAAAACUACCCGGAAUGAACUCAUCUCCCUUCCAGUCAUUUCUGACUGACUGCUGUUUUCCCCUCACCGUGGUCAUGAUGGAACUGUCUCGGUCUUGCUGGAGGUUUGGGCAGCAGUUUCUGAGAGUCUUUCCGUUUCCCUCCUGGAGUUUCAGCCUCUCCACGUGUUUGUCUUCCCAGCUGGUGGCCGUUCUCCAGUCUCCCUCCGGACCCUCCCUCCUCAGGCAGCAGUUGCUUUUUUACUUCUGUGUUAUCAAGAGGCUGUUUGCUCCACAAUCAUUCCUCAGUCCCCCGAGACCAGUUGUCAUUCUGCUGAAAUUUCCACUGUCAUUCCACUGCACUGCACAGGCCACCAAUGACUUCUUGGUUAGCAAAUCCAGUGACUUCUACAUUGACACUGUCAACCUAUUUUUCUCUCUGUGUCGCCCAGGCUGGAGUGCAGUGGUGUGAUCAUAGCUCACUGCAGCCUCAGACUCCUGGGCUCAAGCAAUCCUGCCUCAGCCUCCCGAGUGGCUGG